GGCAACUACUGAUUGGAAUAAAUGCUGGCUUUACCAGUGACACCCACAUCCCCUGAAUAAAUAAUAACCAUUCUUCUCGGGGCCCUCUUCAGGUGGAGUGGUAGUGUCCCUACCCUGAUAACAAAAGGCCCGAGUUCAAGUCUCACCUACUCCAGAGAAAUUAUUAUUGUGUAAACUUAUUUGUGACAAAAGAAGAUCACGAUAUCAGGAAAAAGUUGAUUGAAAGCUUCUGACCGGACCGCUUUUGAAACCAAGCCAGAAAAUGGUAAUAAAUAGCACAUUUUAAUUAACAGAGAAUGAAGGAUUCACCAUAGCUGGACAUUUCAGAGCCAA